rnacentral:rRNA from 1 species
GACGAACGCUGGCGGCGUGCUUAACACAUGCAAGUCGAACGGAAAGGCCCUGCUUUUGUGGUGUGCUCGAGUGGCGAACGGGUGAGUAACACGUGAGUAACCUGCCCUUGACUUUGGGAUAACUUCAGGAAACUGGGGCUAAUACCGGAUAGGAGCUCCUGCUGCAUGGUGGGGGUUGGAAAGUUUCGGCGGUUGGGGAUGGACUCGCGGCUUAUCAGCUUGUUGGUGGUGUAGUGGCUUACCAAGGCUUUGACGGGUAGCCGGCCUGAGAGGGUGACCGGCCACAUUGCGACUGAGAUACGGCCCAGACGCAAACGGGAGGCAGCAGUGGAGAAUAUAGCACAAUGGGCGGAAGCCUGAUGCAGCGACGCCGCGUGCGGGAUGACGGCCUUCGGGUUGUAAACCGCUUUCGCGUGUGACGAAGCGUGAGUGACGGUAACGUGUAAAGAAGCACCGGCUAACUACGUG